UACGAAGGGGGCGAGCGUUGUUCGGAUUUACUGGGCGUAAAGCGCGCGUAGGCGGCUUUGCAAGUCGGGUGUGAAAUCCCCAGGCUUAACCUGGGAACUGCAUUCGAGACUGCAUUGCUAGAGUAUGGGAGAGGGAAGUGGAAUUUCCGGUGUAGCGGUGAAAUGCGUAGAUAUCGGAAGGAACAUCAGUGGCGAAAGCGACUUCCUGGACCAAUACUGACGCUCAUGUGCGAAAGCGUGGGGAGCAAACAGG
rnacentral:rRNA from 1 species